AGGCUACAUGCCGCCCCAUUUAAUGUGUAUGUUGGGGCCUAGUCCCUCAUCCAGCGACUGUCAACACAACACCUCAGUCGUUACACCAAGAGAUAUGAAACCCUUGACAAGGUUGCUAGGUGUUGGGUUAAGGUCACUACAGUAUAAACUCAGUAUAGACCAGGUUAUGAGGUUGCUAGGUGUUGGGUUAAGGUCACUACAGUAUAAACUCAGUAUAGACCAGGUUAUGAGGUUGCUAGGUGUUGGGUUAAGGUCACUACAGUAUUAACUCAGUAUAGACCAGGUUAUGAGGUUGCUAGGUGUUGGGUUAAGGUCACUACAGUAUUAACUCAGUAUAAACCAG
rnacentral:lncRNA from 1 species